rnacentral:rRNA from 1 species
UGGCUGCAGUCGAGGAUCUUCGGCAAUGGGGGAAACCCUGACCGAGCGACGCCGCGUGCGGGAUGAAGGCCUUCGGGUUGUAAACCGCUGUCGUAGAGGAGGAAGUGCAGGGGGGUUCUCCCCUCUGUUUGACCUAUUCUAGGAGGAAGUACGGGCUAAGUUCGUGCCAGCAGCCGCGGUAAGACGAACCGUACAAACGUUACUCGGAAUUACUGGGCUUAAAGGGUGCGUAGGCUGCGCGAAAAGUUGGGUGUGAAAGCCCUCGGCUCAACCGAGGAAUUGCACUCAAAACUACCGUGCUCGAGGGAGACAGAGGUAAGCGGAACUCAAGGUGGAGCGGUGAAAUGCGUUGAUAUCUUGAGGAACACCGGUGGCGAAAGCGGCUUACUGGGUCUCUUCUGACGCUGAGGCACGAAAGCUAAGGUAGCAAACGGGAUUAGAUACCCCGGUAGUCUUAGCUGUAAACGAUGAGCACUUGUUUGAAGGGUCCUCCAUAGCCUUUCAGACGUAGCGAAAGUGUUAAGUGCUCCGCCUGGGGAGUAUGGUCGCAAGGCUGAAACUCAAAGAAAUUGACGGGGGCUCACACAA